AGGGGCGGCUGUAGCGUGGUGGUCCCACCGCCCCAUGCCGAACCCGGAAGUAAAACGCCGUAGCGCCGGUGGUCGUGUGGGUCUCCCCAUGCGAGAACAGGGAACUGCCAGGC
rnacentral:rRNA from 1 species